rnacentral:lncRNA from 1 species
UGUUGUGGUCGUGCUUCUCUCGUUCUCUGUCCUUGACGUGGUGCAAAUCCGGCGAGGGGCACCUGCGGCCGAGAUCUGGUGAGAGGGCACUGCGGUGGCGACGACACGGAGAAGCACGGCUUCCUUGCCGCCCUCGGCCUCGAUCUCCUCGUCUUUACCAUCAACCCCGCUGAAGAGGUGGCCCCAAGCCGCGCCGCCCCAGGCUGGGAUGCACGGAGGACCUGGGCGUGUGCCCGGUGGGAGGCGACGACAUGGGCUGGCCGGCGAGCGCAGAGGCGUCGUGGCGGUGGACGGUAAAGGUAUAAAUAUAGAUUUGCUCUUCUUGUUUGUAGAAAUUUAUGAAUCCAUGUUAUGUGGUCUGAUCUUGUCUCUGGUUGUCUCGAUUUAUAUCUAGAUUUGCUUCUUAUUUUUUUGGAAAUUUACGAAUCCAUGUUCUAGUGCCUUUUCCUCUGUAUUUAGAUUUGGUUUUAGAUGUCUUUGAACUUGAUGCGGAUUCAAGAGACGAAGAGAAAGCCUGCACUGGAUGCAUCCGUAUUAGAAAUUGUCAAGGUUGUAGAGUUCUGAACGGAAACUGAAGAGCCCGUGAAGUGCGCAGGCACGGUGGGGAAAAAACACGGAGAAGAGGACAGACGAAAAUUUUGCCAGACGAAAACAA